AGAAUAUAAGAACAUGUCUCUUAAUUUUUAACUAAAAAUAGUAAGAACUGGUUCUUAAAUAAGAGUUUUAAGAGACGGUUCUUAGCUUUUUCAGUUAAAAGUUAAGAGACGGGUUCUUAUAUUCC
rfam:Brassica oleracea var. oleracea cultivar TO1000 chromosome C9, whole genome shotgun sequence